rnacentral:lncRNA from 1 species
UACCAUUAGGCAUGUGUUGUCUUUUUCUUCUAUUUUUGAAUCAUCAAAGUCACCUUUUGUUGUCAUCAUGAAUUUCUUCUUGGAAGCGAGCUCUCUUUGCAUUUUCUUGUUUUGAGAACAUUUCGUUUUGGAAUGUCCCUUCUUUUUGCACUUAUGGCAUGCACUUUGAUUUGCAGGUUUUGACAUCACUUCUUCCUGAAUCUUUU